rnacentral:rRNA from 1 species
GGAGCAAGCGUUGUUCGGAUUUACUGGGCGUAAAGGGCGCGUAGGCGGACAGUUUAGUCAGAGGUAAAAGCCCAGGGCUCAACCUUGGAACUGCCUUUGAUACUGGCUGUCUUGAGUUCGGGAGAGGUGAGUGGAAUGCCGAGUGUAGAGGUGAAAUUCGUAGAUAUUCGGCGGAACACCAGUGGCGAAGGCGACUCACUGGCCCGAUACUGACGCUGAGGCGCGAAAGCGUGGGGAGCAAACAGG